AUGCGAACGGUGAUGGAUUUGAUGAUUGCUCGAGGAUUAGAUAAACGGUAUUGGUGUGACAUUUCCUCUCCUCUUGUGUGUCGAGACGACCUCCUGUGCAAAGUCGUGUUGACUACAAAGUACAAAUGCAAUGUCAAUGGCACAGUUUUUCUUUCAGUGAAACACCGAGUGCAAUACAGAGGCACGCAAACUUACGCGGUUACGCCACCUUUAAGCUUAACCCUGAUGUAUUACGUGCUCUAA
rnacentral:rRNA from 1 species